AUGAUUAAUAGGGACAGUUGGGGUCCUUCGUAUUGAAUUGUGAGAGGUGAAAUUCUAAGAUCAAUUCAAGACGUACUAAUGCGAAAGCAUUGGACAAGGAUGUUUUCAUUAAUCAAGAACGAAAGUUGGGGGAUCGAAGAUGAUCAGAUACCGUCGUAGUCCUAACCGUAAACUAUGUCGACUAAAGAUUAGUUAAAGUCUAUUGAAUAAAUGACUUUACUAGUAUUAUAACGAGAAAUCUCAAGUUUUCGGAUUCCGGGGGGAGUAUGGUCGCAAGGCUGAAACUUAAAGGAAUUGACGGAAGGGCACCACCAGGAGUGGAACCUGCGGCUCAAUUGGACCCAACGCCGGGAAACUCACCAGGUCCGGACACAAGAAGGAUUGACAGAUUGAUAGUUCUUUCUUGAUUUUGUGUAAAGUGGUGCAUGGCCGUUUUUAGUUGGUGGAUUGAUUUGUCUGGUUUAUUCCGUUAACGAACGAGACCUUAACGAUUGACUUUUUUUUAUUAAACAAAAAGACCCUAGGUCAUUACUUCUUAAAGGGACUUUUCAUGUUUAAUGAAUGGAAGAUUGAGGCAACAACAGGUCUGUGAUGCCCUUCGAUGUCCUGGGCCGCACGCGUGUUACAAUGUCAUAAACAACGAGUUUUAAUGAACCCUAACCCUUAUGGGUAUAGGUAAUCUUAUAAAAUUAUGACAUGAUAGGGAUAGACCAUUGUAAUUAUUGGUCUUGAACGAGGAAUUCCUAGUAAAUAUGAGUCAUUAUCUCAUGUUGAUUACGUCCCUGCCCUUUGUACACACCGCCCGUCGCUCCUACCGAUUGAAUGUCAAGGUGAGGAUCUAGGA
rnacentral:rRNA from 1 species